rnacentral:rRNA from 1 species
AGAGUUUGAUCAUGGCUCAGGACGAACGCUGGCGGCGUGCCUAACACAUGCAAGUCGAGCGGAGACAGUGAGUAGCUUGCUAUGAGCUGUUUUAGCGGCGGACGGGUGAGUAACGCGUGAGCAAACUUUCCAAGACAGGGGAAUAACACACCGAAAGGUGUACUAAUACCGCAUAAGACCACGGGAUCACAUGGUUCUGGGGUAAAAGAUUUAUCGGUUUGGGGUGGGCUCGCGUCCGAUUAGGUAGUUGGUGAGGUAA